GACGAACGCUGGCGGCGUGCUUAACACAUGCGAGUCGAACGGAAAGGCCCCUUUGGGGGUCCUCGAGUGGCGAACGGGUGAGUAACACGUGAGUAACCUGCCCUUGACUUCGGGAUAACUUCAGGAAACUGGGGCUAAUACCGGAUAGGAAUCCUUGCUGCAUGGUGGGGGUUGGAAAGCUUCGGCGGUUUUGGAUGGACUCGCGGCUUAUCAGCUUGUUGGUGGGGUAGUGGCUUACCAAGGCUUUGACGGGUAGCCGGCCUGGGAGGGCGACCGGCCACAUUGGGACUGAGAUACGGCCCAGACGCCUACGGGAGGCAGCAGUGGGGAAUAUUGCACAAUGGGCGGAAGCCGGAUGCAGCAACGCCGCGGGCGGGAGGACGGCCUUCGGGUUGUAAACCGCGUUCAGCAGGGGCGAAGCUUGUGGUGACGGUACCUGCAGAAGAAGCACCGGCUAACUACGUG
rnacentral:rRNA from 1 species